ensembl:lncRNA
GUAUGUGAUAGAAUAAUAUCUGAAUAUUUAUUACGAUAUUGAAGUUAUACGUUGAAGUGUUGUUUGAAUUUUAAACAGAGCUGCUGCUUUGCUGAGUCCGGAUUCAAAUACUGAGCGGAAGCGGAAGCGCUCGAGUGUAAACAGACUCUGUAGCUGAACUUUAAAGAGACUCAAGCCUCUUUUUAUUUGUGAUCUACUGUCUCAGUCUAAAUUACACUCACACUGGGGUUUGAGGAAGACAAACUAACUACAAUAGAAUAAUAAUAACAACAGUGACAGUAAUAGUGAUAUAUUGUAGAACAGUUUCACUGUAAAAUAAAUGAAAAUGAAUAUUUCAUAGGUAUAUUGUUAUUGUUUUACACUACAGCAGGGACAUCACAACACUUCUUUCCUAAUUUCUACACUUGAGAGAGAUGUUUAGAGUCUGGAGUGUGUUUAAACCUGUAGCUGUCAGUAACUGAUGCUGCACUUGAAGCUUUUAUUCUGAAGGAAACUCCAGCUUCAGUGAAAACAGGCUUACAAAAACCCCCUCACUACAAAUCUAGAGAAACGCUGUGAAGAUAAAGCAGAACUGCUGUCUGUUGUGUUCCCAAACGCGCUCUAAACUCACAGCAGUCGUCUGCGCAGACGCAGAAGGAUCAGGAGACGGCUCUGACGGAGGAAGAGCGCAGACAACAGCAGGAACUACUGCAGUCUUUAGCGGAGUGUGUCCUUCACGUGUCCAGGCGCAGGCUCACGUCUGGAGGACACACUGACCUCCAUCUGUCUGCACACACAACACCUCACAGGAUCCCUCUCUGCUGCCACCAGAAACUCACAGAGUCAAUCUGCAGAACACACUCGUGUCAUCAUCAGUCGAUACAUCACAUCAUCACACCACAGUCAGCAAGAACCGAGCCUUUCCCAAGCUUUCAGUCGAGUGCUUCACUGAAGUGCCUGAAACAGCACACGCUAGUGACACCUGCUGGUCAAACUCUGUAAAUGCAACAAAACUUCUGCAAAAACAGGCAUAAAAACACCUUUUACAACCCCAAGGCAAAUACAUUCUUCAAAGUAUAAUAUAUUAAAUGGACUUUAAAUAUUAAAAUACCAUUGCAUAUGAAGUGUCUGUAUAUAUGUGAUUUAAAUUUUUUUUAUUAAUUUGCAGGGCUUGUUUAGUUUGUUUUAUGGAGAGCUUGUCUGAACAGUCAGUAAGAGACUAUUAACUACUACUCAUCCUGUUAAUUACACAACAUUAGAAAUAUCUUCAAACUGAUUUCCCAAAGUUUUGAAGCUUCACAUCAGGCUGAUCUUAAAGCUGAUUGGCUGUAAUGUUCCAUCAGCUGACAGGAAGACGUUUUCUCCGUCCAGUGAAGAGAAAUGGAGUCCAGUGCCAAAGAUCUGUCGAGUUUCAAAGAUGAACUGCACUUUUAUAUUAUUGUCUUUAAACAUUUUGCCAGUUAUUUAAUCAAGUUUUAUAUGUUUUUCUUGACAUCUCUGUACAUCUUACGGCUUCAGCAGCGCUUUUCUUGCUGGUUUUGUCUUUGCACACUUGAAUAAAUUGUGAAAAUUGUUGUAAUUUGUCAUUUAAAACUAGAUUUCAAUUGAUAAUACAAAAUCAUAUUUUCAGAAACAAUGUCAGAGGUCAAUUCUGGGUUCAUUUAUACAUGAAUCUGUCAGUUAUGAGGGAAAAAAAUAUGCAAUAUACUAUACAUGUAAUUUUUUUUCUCUGAAUUGCAAGAAAAAGUAAUAACUGAG